GGGUCUGCGUUUCAUUAGCUUGUUGGUAGGGUAACGGCCUACCAAGGCGACGAUGGGUAGCUGGUCUGAGAGGAUGAUCAGCCACACUGGGACUGAAACACGGCCCAGACUCCUACGGGAGGCAGCAGUGGGGAAUAUUGCGCAAUGGGGGCAACCCUGACGCAGCGACGCCGUGUGAGGGAAGAAGGCCUUCGGGUCGUAAACCUCUGUCAGAAGGGAAGAACCUCCAAUAUCCGAAUAGGGUGUUGGACUGACGGUACCUUCAGAGGAAGCGCCGGCUAACUCCGUGCCAGCAGCCGCGGUAAUACGGAGGGCGCGAGCGUUAAUCGGAAUUACUGGGCGUAAAGCGCGCGUAGGCGGCUUUGUAAGUCGGGCGUGAAAGCCCUCGGCUCAACCGAGGAACUGCGUUCGAUACUGCAAGGCUUGAGUCCUGGAGAGGGUGGCGGAAUUCCGGGUGUAGGAGUGAAAUCCGUAGAGAUCCGGGGGAACACCGGUGGCGAAGGCGGCCACCUGGACAGGUACUGACGCUGAGGCGCGAAAGCGUGGGGAGCAAACAGGAUUAGAUACCCUGGUAGUCCACGCGGUAAACGAUGGACACUAGAUGCCGGAC
rnacentral:rRNA from 1 species